rnacentral:rRNA from 1 species
AUUGAACGCUGGCGGCAGGCCUAACACAUGCAAGUCGCGCGAGCGGCGGACGGGUGAGUAAUGCCUAGGAAUCUGCCUGGUAGUGGGGGAUAACGUCCGGAAACGGGCGCUAAUACCGCAUACCAUCGGAUGUGCCCAGAUGGGAUUAGCUUGUUGGUGGGGUAACGGCUCACCAAGGCGACGAUCCCUAGCUGGUCUGAGAGGAUGACCAGACACACGGGAACUGAGACACGGUCCAGACUCCUACGGGAGGCAGCAGUGGGGAAUAUUGCACAAUGGGCGCAAGCCUGAUGAAGCCAUGCCGCGUGUAUGAAGAAGGCCUUCGGGUUGUAAAGUACUUUCAGCGGGGAGGCGUUACCCGCAGAAGAAGCACCGGCUAACUCCGUGCCAGCAGACGCGGUAAUAC